AGUGAACGCUGGCGGUAGGCCUAACACAUGCAAGUCGAGCGGCCGCACAGUAAGAUCUUUCUCUUACUGUUGGCGACUGACGGACGGGUGACGCAUACAUCGCAUUCUACUUUUUCGUGGGUGAUAACGUAGGGACACUUACGCUAAUACCUCAUACUUCCUACCGCUGAAAUCAGAAGUUCUUCGGACCUUUCGUGUUUCAUUUAGCUGAUGUCGGAUUAGCUAGUUGGCGUGGUAAAGGCCCACCAAGGCGACGAUGCGUAGCUGAUCUGAGAGGAUGAUCAGCCACACUGGAACUGAGACACGGUCCAGACUCCUACGGGAGGCAGCAGUAGGGAAUAUUGCGCAAUGGGCGAAAGCCUGACGGAGCAACACCGCGUGAGUGAAGAAGGUCUUCGGAUUGUAAAACCCUGUUGUUGGGAAAGAAAAGAGGUAUGUGAAAACGUGGAUGUUCUGACGGUACCCAAAGAAUAAGCAACGGCUAACUACGUG
rnacentral:rRNA from 1 species